rnacentral:lncRNA from 1 species
CAAGUCCACAGGACAGUUCUAAUAAUGACCUCACCCUAACUUGUUCAGUCAUAUCCACUGAGACAAAAGAAUACCACAGCGACGAGUCAGUCCAAUUAACUCCCUGGAAAGCCUGGCUGCUGUAGUGUUCUGGACCUCGUUCUUGGGGAACUUGUUUUCUUAUAUUCCUUCCUGCCCAAGCCGGUUCUGCCAGUUGACCCAGGUCUUGAAUCUUUGUAUGAUUGUCAGGAUAGGAAAACUCACCUGUCUAUUCAUUAUUGUUUUCCCACUUAUUCUGUUCAGCUUCUAGAUGAGAUGUACCUGUUUCUCUGAGUGUGGUUCAAUAACUGCUCUGCCUUAUUGAAUGAAAACUCUUCUCGGCAAGACACAGUUUUUGGAUUGUGAUCAAAGAAAGAAUGGAGGCACAGCAUCAAGGGAUGUGGGUCUGAGCCAGGGCAGUGCGAGAGGAGAUGGAAGAAAGCGGAGAAACCUGUGGGAGAUGUUUGCAAGUAGGGUAGGGUAUAGGGAUUGGAUGUAGUGCUCAGUUGCUGGAGGUGGGAAGGAGUGAUGGAGGGAGUGGUUGAAAAUAAGUCACCUGAGUAGCUUUUUUAAAGCAAACUAGGAGAUCCAAGGAAAGAAGUGGUAGUGGGUUGGGGAGAGAAGAGAUGCAUUCUGAUGGAGAUGGGCUAAGAAGAACUAAGAAGAAAAAAAUAAAGCAUUUACGGAGGAAGAAGAAUGUAGUUUAUGAAAAAUAAUAAGGAAGGAAAUUUGAAAAAGGAAGACGAUUAGCAAUUUUAAAUGCUGUAGAGGAGUUAAGUUGAAAGAAGACUAAGAAGAGGCAAUGUGAAGGUCAGAAAUCAUCAGGAGAACAAAUUCCACAGUGCAGGCAGCACAAAAACCAUGCUUUCAUUACCGAAAAUUGAAAACAUGGUCUGAUGAUGGAUUUUGAUUGAUUUAUGAACUUAUUUACAUGAAAUCUUUCAAUGGUCCAAAAGUAAGUCACAUUUAUUUAAUGAAUCACCAUUAUUGAAAAAAUAUAUGAUAAAAAGGAGCUACUCUGGAAAACCUGUAACACAUUUUCACCAUCGUGACUGGGACAGAAGCCAGAUCUUAGGGGAUUUCAUCAAUGAAAUGAGACAAAAGAAGGGAAAAGGAGAAAGAAGAGUUUGAUCCUUUAUAAAGACAAAAAUAAAACCAAAGUAGGCUGAAACUCAUAAGUAAAGGGAAAACUCCUGAUUAAGAAGACUGGAAACAGAGAGUGGCAUCAGCAUCAUAGUGGUAUAAGAUGUCCCUCCUUUCUAACAACUAAUCAGGUAUCCAUCCACAAACAAAAGUGCCUCUGUGGGAGUUGUGGGAUCCAGCACCAUAUACCAAGGGACCCAGGAGAUGUCUUGCCCACCUGCAUCUGGUAAUAGGCAGACAGACCUUGAUACAGGCUGUGGAGCCAGCAGGAGCCUGUGAACCUGCCCCAACCCCUCUCAGCCACAGUCAGAUAAAACCUGGAGAGUACUGACUAGAGCAGACACCCAUGAGCAAGAGAGACUUUGUAGAAGUCCAGCCUUCCUGAGGGGAGAUUCCAACACACUAUUGGAGAAAAAAAAUUACAGAUUUGGAUGCAUUGGAAGGAGUAAGAGGAAAUUUUCCACUGCUGCCCCUCCCAAGGCGACACAGCCUGGGGCUGAACUAGCCAGUGGUGACCUCUCCCACAGGAGGAAAAGGAGAGUGGUGAGUGAGUGCUCAGCUACCCCAGCUGUGCAGCACACUGCUGGAGAAACUCAUUUCUCUCCAGCAGUACCCAGAGUACUGAGGCAGGACCUCCAUGACUGGAGGGAAAGAGGAGAUCAGGAAAGAG